UCCUACGCGUCGGACGCGUCACACGCGUCUUUCACGCUCGCACACACACACACACGCACGUCAGUCACACAUACGCGCACGCACACCUGCGUGCACGUGCGUAUAUACGUGCUCGUUAUAGCGAUCUCGUGAGAACGAACCUCGGUCGGAGCCGUUUCUUCAGUCAAGCGCAGCCGCUCGAGCAGGACGGACGCGUGUACGUUCGUCCGCGCUUUUCUAGUCUCCUCGAGGACGAAUCCGACGCAGCAGUUGGAGAGAGAGAGAGAUCGUCGUCGAACCUCGCCGUCGAGGUCUGAUCGCCCACGUGCUCGCUAGAAGCCGACGUUUCCCGCGCGCAGUUCGUGGCGAGACACCGAGCGUUCGAAACGCGCGCUGACGCCGCUGGCCGAUCACGUGGUACGCCGUCGUAUCGACCAGCGGACGGCCGCGGCGGCGAUUGGCCCGCUCGGCUCGCGUCUUACGCGCAAUAUCAGUUCGAGCUGCCGUCUGCUGGCAGUGUCAAGUGGACCUCGUAACGUACGCUCGACGAACAAAGGAUUCGCGGAAGCUCUCGCUGCAUCUCGCGCUGGUACUGGCGACUCGCGCACGACCCGCGCCUCAUCGUUCUCUCCGUGCUCGUCCCGUGCUCGACGCGUCGAAGUCGCCUCGACCCGCUGCGGCGAACAGAGCGCGACAGACACACGCACGUCACGCUGCGACGGGGCUGCGACGCGGUCCUACGGACGCUUUUGACAGCUCGUCGUCGCAGUGACAGCCGCCGCGUCGUGGUGGAUCGUCGUUGCGGGGUUUUCUCGCUCGUCGGACCGACAGUCGGAGUGUCAUCGACAACCGAGGAGCGACCUGAGAGCGAAGAAGAGGGAGACACCCCGGGGAUGGUCGAAUAAAUCUGCCGAGCAUCGAAAGGUCUAGGUUUCCCUGAGCAGCGGUCCCUCGCACUUCUCUCGUAUCCUUCUCUCCCCUCUCCCCCUUCUCUCCCUCUCUCCCUCACGCGCGCGCUGCAAGAGAGCCGCGAGCUACGAGAGAUAUAUAUUGUGUGUAUGUGUGUAUAUAUAUAUAUAUAUAUACACACAUCUUUCUCUCGCCGCGCGACCGCGAACUUCGAAUACUCCACUGAUCGCGUUUCUCCGUUGGUCGAGUUCCGCGGCCAGUAGUGCGCGGGCUUAAGAUGUACAGUAUGAACUACAUCGGCAAGUUCAUCAGCAACUUUCGCGACUUCUACAACGAGAUCAACGCGGCGACCCUCACCGGUGCGAUCGACGUCGUCGUCGUCGAGCAGCCGGAUGGCUCCUUCGCGUGUUCGCCCUUCCAUGUCCGCUUCGGCAAGCUCGGAGUGCUUCGUUCCAGGGAAAAAGUGGUGGACAUUGAGAUAAACGGAGAGCCCAGGCAGAUUCACAUGAAACUUGGCGAUUCCGGAGAGGCUUUCUUCGUAGAAGAAGUUGGCUCGGACGGGUCGCCGACUGAUCGAGAAAUUCCGCCGCAUCUAGCCUGCUCACCCAUACCGGACGACAACUGUUUCCCACCCCCACGAUUCAACCUCCUGUCGGAUCUACCUCCGGAACAGAGGGAGAAGAUUCUCAUAGACUCCGUUCUCUCCAUCGAGCGUGAAAAAUGGGAGCAAAUGUCCGCCUUGCCGCCCGAUCAGCGGGAGAAGUUUCUGGUAGAACAGUUUUCAGAUCUCCCUGUGGAACAUCGCGAGAAAUGGCUACAGAUCGCGUCGCUGACCGCGGAAGAGCGAGACGAGAUGUUCAAGGAGAGUUUCGGCACCAUAUCAACCCUGCAGAAACAGCAAAUGAUCAGAGAACAAUAUUCCGCCUUGAAGACGGAGGACAAGGAGCGACUGUUCAAGGAAAACUUUCCGGAGCUGCCGAUCGAGCAGAGACAGAAGUUCGAGAAGGCUCUGCUGAGCGACUGGAAGGAGAAGGAGGAAAAAUGGGAAGAGAAGCACGACAAAUCCAAGGACGAUGACGAGAUAUUCGACAUGGACAACAUCAACGAUGAAGAACCCAAGGUUACGGUGUCAACGCCCAAAUCUUUCGUAGCUGUUACCUCCUCCGAGAGAAUUCGGAAGAUCAGCGUGGUGAAGAAUGAUUUUAGACCGAUCACCGAUGAUCCUCAGAGCAGCAGUAAAGAAAAGUCCAGUGACGAGUCGAAUCCGUCUGUGAGCAAGAAGAACUCGAAGGAGGAGAAUGUCGAAGAGACGAAGAGUAACAGUUCCACUAAGAGGAAGCGCAAGAGGAAGAGCAUAAUGAAGAAGAAGGGAUCACAGAGGAAGACCAGCAACGGCAGCAGCAGCCAGACGGAAAUGAGCGAGACUGAUGCGGUCGUUACCGAGGAGUUAGUCAACGAAACUAUGCUGAAGGGUCCCACUUCAGUCACCGAAGUCGAGAUGAAAAGCAUCGCGGAAAUCACGCCGCCUCCUCAAGAUACCAUUGAGCAACGCCCGGAUACUGACUUUCACUUCUUCAGCGACACGGAAGUGACCAAGAAUCAGGAAUCCAGGCCAUCGUCGCCCGUCCAGUCGGACACGGAAUUCGAGAUGCGCAAGAUCACGCAGGAGGGUAGCGAAAUGGAGGACGACAAGAGCCAUCAGCAGAGCUGGAGAUGGGGUGAACUGCCUAGUCCGCCUCCGGAACCGGCGCAUAUGUCGCACAGAAACUCGCUGAGCUCCUCAGCAACGGCCAGCCAGCCGAACAACACAGAUGCACACCGAUCUAUGCUCAGUGGCAUGUUCUCCUUUAUGAAGAAGACCUCUCGCGUAAGACACAAUCCGGAAUCCGAGGGAAUUUAUCUUAGUGAUCUUAAUGCCGACGAGCUGGAUCCCGAAGUUGCGGCACUUUACUUUCCCUCCUCGCAUCGAGGCCCGACGGUGGUUAAAGAUGGGAAAGCCGUGGAUGAAGAAGACACAGAGUCAGGUAACGGACCGAGUUUACCGCAAAGCCCCAACAGCGUUGAGGGAGCUAUCGGUGGGCCAAAGUCGGUGGAUAGUGACUUCGAGGAACCAAAGCACUCAAUAUUCGAUAAUACCGUAGAGAUAAGUUUGUCCUUGUGCGGUGGUCUGGACACCGAGAACGGACCAUCCAAGGAGGCUUUCCAUGAAAAUUUACUGCAGUUCGAGGACAUCUGUACCGAUCCAAAAUUGUAUGAGAACCCAAACCUGGUCGUGAAGAUCAACGGAAAAUUCUAUAACUGGGCUACAGCCUGCCCGAUAGUGAUGACUUACGCCGUUUUCCAAAGACACUUACCUCAGAGCGCGAUCGAGAGUCUGUACACGCAGUAUAUGCCGUUGCUGGUGCACGAAGACAAGAAACAGCAGAACAACGGCAAGCCCGAGAGCCGUAGCGGUUACAGCUCGUGGUUCUCUUGGAGACGUUCCACGCAACCCACUAAGAAAUCGCAGGAUAUUAGUCAAACUGAUGGGAUUGCCAUGCAGUCCGAACAAUCAUUGGAAGCCAAGGCUGCGACGAGCGAAGAAGUACCUUCUACUAACAGAGAAGCAAAGACUGAGCAAACAGUAGGCUCGUCGAAUGCGACCGAAGCGAUAGAAGCUUGUACGAGAUUGACAACCGCAAGUAAGGAAACAGCACUCUCAAAGACUGAGAAGGCGCGCGAAAGAGAAGGCGAAGGCUACAGCGGCAGCGAGGAUUCCGACAGCAAUCAAAACGAGCCGCCUGGCGUGAAGAUGCCCAUCGAAAGAAGAUCGUAUUACGAGUCCACGGAGAAAUAUCGUAAAACUUUGAGACUCUCAUCCGAGCAGAUUGUGAGCCUCGGUCUGAAGGACGGUCCCAACGAAGUGGUGUUCAGCGUCACCACCGCUUACCAGGGUACAACCCGCUGCAAGUGUCACAUUUACAAGUGGAAGUGGGAUGACAAGAUCGUCAUCUCCGAUAUCGACGGCACUAUCACGAAAUCCGACGUGUUGGGCCACAUUCUGCCGAUAGUGGGCAAAGACUGGGCACAGUCUGGAGUCGCCCAGCUGUUCACGAAGAUAAAAAACAACGGCUACAAGCUUCUAUACCUCUCGGCGAGGGCGAUCGGCCAGGCUAAGGUUACCAGGGAAUACCUGAAGAGCAUCAGACAAGGGGAUCUGUCGUUACCGGAGGGUCCUUUGCUUUUGAACCCUACCAGCUUAAUCUCAGCGUUUCAUCGUGAAGUGAUCGAGAAGAAACCGGAAGAGUUCAAAAUAUCUUGCCUCAGCGACAUUCAGGCGUUAUUCCCCGAGGGCUCCAAGCCGUUUUACGCUGGAUACGGAAAUCGAAUUAACGACGUUUGGGCAUAUCGAGCAGUAGGCAUUCCUAUUAUGCGGAUCUUCACCAUAAAUCACCGAGGAGAAUUGAAGCACGAACUGACACAGACAUUCCAAUCUUCCUACGCGUGUCAGUGCAAUAUCGUCAAUGACUUGUUCCCGCCACAACCCAUGCCAAGCGUCUACUGAUAGCGGCGCAACCAUAGUCGUAGCUUUAACCGGGGCGUGCUAGUUAAAUAGAUUUGCGAGCGUUCUUUGGAGUAACGCGUAGUAACGGCGACGGUGUCGCCGGUUGCGUUAUGCUUGGGACACCGCCCACGCGCAACGCAAUCCACGCGCUCUCCACCUUCCACAACAAUCGACAUAGUACAAAGUCCAGCGUUUCACGCGCCGUGACAAAACUGGCGGAAGAGAAAGCUCGAGUUAAUCUUUCGAUACGCGCCCAGUUAUGGAAUUGUUUAGAAUACGUAAAAUACGCAACUAGUCGCUCUAUAGCUCAUCACUAUACUAUGUUUUGGGAUAUUGUGGGGUUGUGCGACAACUCCUACCUACCUUCUUAUGAUUUAUAGGAUAUUCGAACAUGAGUUUCAUCGUCGAUCAUCUGUUCCCGGCAUGGCGUGAGGAUGCAGCCGAUGAAUUCAGCAACUUCGCAUACUGGCGGGAGCCGAUACCUGAAGUACCGAAACUCGAAGAGCUUUACGCUCAGGCUCAAGCUACCUAGGGAACUCGCUCUACUCCGCAACCAGUCACAAUCGCUUGUAUUACGAACCAUCGUCGUCAUAUUUAAGCUAACUACUUUUAUACCCUGCGCAUCGAUCGUAGUGGCCUUGACGGGUGCGAUUGUCCAGUGUAACGCGUUAGAAGCUUCGAAGAGUGCGAACAUUUGUUAUUUCAAGUUUAUUUGUUCAAGUUACCGUCGGAAGUGAAACUUCUUAUUUGAAUGGCACUUCGGUGUAGUUCGCCUGGGUUAUUUAAGUGACACUUUUGUAAGUACGUAUCGCAUACACAGGUGAUCUAGAGGGUAGAAAUGUUUCGAGUUCAAUAUCUCAACAUUCCAGAGUUUACAGCUUCGUUGUACACGCACGCAAGUAUAAUAGAUAGUCCUUGCAUCCAUAUAUUAAUUGGAUCGAAUCGCACCAGUCAAUGUACACAGCGUGCCUAGUGAUUAGAUACAAAUAAAUGCUUCAGAUUAACCUAAGCAAAUCUUAUGCACAUGCAUACACACACACACACACACACACACACACUUUCUCUCUCUCACAUAUAUACAUAAAAAACUUGAUAAAGUUCUCAAGCUCUUCUACAAGCGAUACUCACCAUCGGGUCUCGCUGUUGAAUACACUUCGUAAAAUUGAUGAUCAGGUGGAAUUUCGUGAUCUUGCACACGGCACGAUUCAUCUGUGUGUUUACAGCGACAUUCUCAUUGUGCUAAAAAGAGAGAAAGAGAGAGAGAGAGAGAGAGUCUCGCUUAUCACCGCACAUAUACACACACGCAUCUUUUAUACAAGCAAUCUAAUUGUUGUCCGCGUACAUGCCGUGAAUUUUCUACAUUGAGUUACGUUGGGAUUCUGUUUAGUCUAAUUGGUGGUAGAAAUAUCGUCACGAUCAUAGAACGUAAGAUAUGUUAGCAGGAGUAUUUAUACGUCGCUUACGUUCCCUAUUUUUAUUCAGAGAAUUGUAAUUUAUUUUUGUAUGAGAUCUCGAUUAAGUUAGCGUGCUGUGAAAUUGCCAUAUUUGGAAGGAUAUCAUUUACCUUGUGAUAUUUCUGAUCAAACUAGGGCUUACAAAGUAGAUAAUCUGUACAGACGUGGGGAUUUCUUUUUGAACGUCAGCGUCAACGUGGUCCCACGAAAUGCGAACUUGUCCUAUGUUCCGCGUAGGUUGUACGUGAUAUAAUUUUUAUUUAUUUAAUUGUCCUCUCUAAUGAUGAUUUUGUAAUGCUACUUCUACCUACUUUCUACCAGCCUUUGUCUUUCGUAUUACGUUACCUAAACUACAUCAUUGACGUAUACAUUAAGUAGUCGUUUUUUUUUCCUUCUUUUUUGUAGCCUGUGGUUGAUUCAAAUGUAAAAGUAUAGUCUGUGGGUCCGUUCCUCAUACUUCUCGAAAGUCAUGCCGUUGAAGUAAAAUAAAGGUACAAUUACAUCCAACCAAAGAGGAUAGAGUAACAUUCGCAAUAGAUUGUCUUAUUAGGUAAUAAUUAGACUAUAAAUGUUUAUGCAAAUGUAUCAUCUUCUGAAGGGAUGGAAAAGUAAAACUAAAACUUAAGCAUAAUUUAUCAGUAGAAUACAAAUUCUAUGUCUGUACGAUAAAACAAGCUUCGACCGUUUUAGUUUUAUUUUUCUAACUGAUUCUUGAUCUACAUAUUUAUACAAACAUCUGCAGUCCAAUGGUGAUGCAGCAUUCAGUGAAAUGCAACGAGAUGGAAAAAUUACCGUACGAAUAGCAGAUAGCUUUAAGAGUUUUUGGUUAGCCAAAUGUGAUCUAGCGCAGGGAAACUGAUAAAUUAGGAGGAAUUUAGGAAUUGGAUGUUGUAUAGAUUUUGUAUUCCUGUAAAAGGAUGCACUUUUGUUUAACAAUUAUUUUAAUGUAUAAUGUAUAUAUUAUGCGAAAUAAGGUUAUAUUGUACAUUUGUAAUUGUUAAAUAUUUAAUUUGUAGCAUAUUAUAUUUUACUCGUUUUGUUAUAAUUCAUUAUUUCUAGUACAAAUAAAUCCAGUCUUUUUGUAAUUCUUUUUAGUUCGGUUUAUAAUAUGUUCUUGCAUUAUAUUAUCACAACAUACUUCUCCUUUGUGACAGUGAGUAAAAAAAAAAAGUUGCCAGUUUUCAAUAUACAAAUUUAAACUUGAAAACUCGGGUUAACAUAUUGCAUAAGGUGAACGUGUUCGUAUGAUUGGAAUUGUUAGACGCGAUGUCUACCUACCAAAUAAAAGCUAAUUUCCUUGCGGUUAGGAGUAUUUAAUAAUUAUUUUGUAUGAUAAUAUAUCGAAAUUGGUGUUAUGUACGGAAUGAUGCGGUGUCUAUCGAUUAACCUUUGUAUGUCAAUAACGAUUACCUGUCUAAGACGAUCUCAUCCUCUCACGAUGUAAUAUGUUCCAUUGGAUUCGGUUUACUUAAUUCUUGUCUCAGCGGUAUUAGCACAUUGCUAUGCUUCUAUAUGUAAUAAAUGUAUGACCUGUAUCCUUUGGAAUCAUAAUAAAAAUCACCAAAAUGGCUACUUCA